rnacentral:rRNA from 1 species
UACGGAGGAUGCAAGCGUUAUCCGGAAUGAUUGGGCGUAAAGCGUCCGCAGGUGGCUAUGUAAGUCUGCUGUUAAAGAGUGAGGCUCAACCUCAUAAGAGCAGUGGAAACUACAUGGCUAGAGUGCGUUCGGGGCAGAGGGAAUUCCUGGUGUAGCGGUGAAAUGCGUAGAGAUCAGGAAGAACACCGGUGGCGAAAGCGGCUCUCUGGGACGGUACUGACGCUGAGACGCGAAAGCGUGGGGAGCGAACAGG